GAUGAACGCUGGCGGCGUGCCUAAUACAUGCAAGUCGAGCGAAUGGAUUAAGAGCUUGCUCUUAUGAAGUUAGCGGCGGACGGGUGAGUAACACGUGGGUAACCUGCCCAUAAGACUGGGAUAACUCCGGGAAACCGGGGCUAAUACCGGAUAACAUUUUGGACCGCAUGGUUCGAAAUUGAAAGGCGGCUUCGGCUGUCACUUAUGGAUGGACCCGCGUCGCAUUAGCUAGUUGGUGAGGUAACGGCUCACCAAGGCAACGAUGCGUAGCCGACCUGAGAGGGUGAUCGGCCACACUGGGACUGAGACACGGCCCAGACUCCUACGGGAGGCAGCAGUAGGGAAUCUUCCGCAAUGGACGAAAGUCUGACGGAGCAACGCCGCGUGAGUGAUGAAGGCUUUCGGGUCGUAAAACUCUGUUGUUAGGGAAGAACAAGUGCUAGUUGAAUAAGCUGGCACCUUGACGGUACCUAACCAGAAAGCCCCGGCUAACUACGUGCCAGCCGCCGCCGUAA
rnacentral:rRNA from 1 species